rnacentral:lncRNA from 1 species
CAAACUUGAGUUUCAUUUCUUCUUCUUCAUCCAACUUCUGCAAAUUUCUUUCUUUUCCAGCACAAAUCAUGAAAUUAUUUAUUCCAAUAAUUUUUAAAAAGCACGAAAGUUAAUUUGAGACAGGGAGAGUAACAAUUAGAAGGAAAAACUUAUUGUUGUGAACGAGACAGACCAAAAUGAUGCACUUGGGCCUGAGAAUUGUUUACGACGGGGUCAAGUGAUUAAACAGCACAACACAAGAUUAUUGGACUAUCAUUGGGAUCCGGGUUGAGGUACACGUGUCGAAGAGUUACUGGACAAGAAGAAAUGUAGUUGUUAUAAUUAUCACUUUGCGCGAAGAGGAGAGCAUGCGUAUUAUGUUGAGGCUUCGAUUGAGUCUGUUCUUCUCAUCUCUAUUUUUUUAAUGUCUGAAACUUUUCAUCCCCUUCUGGUUUUCCUUUCUUUGUUCCUCUAAUUUCUAGUUAAUUGUUGUUCUUCAUUCUAUUAGUAUUUUUUUUACAGUGUAAUAUAGGGCCGACAUGGCUAGAAUGCGGGUUUCCGAGGACAUGACACUUGAUAGGAAAGUCUGGAGAUCUAGUAUCAGGGUUGUAGGAUAGAGGCCCCUAGAGUUUUUCGUACUCCUCACCCGAGGUUGGGUGAGGCUUGGCAGGGCUCCAUAGGUGAUUUGUGCAUUGGAUUGUGUCUCCCUUAUGGCAGUUAUUUAUGGUAGUUACUGUCUGACAUAUUUGCAUGCUAUUUUACUUAUGGUUCUUAUGUUUAGCUAAUUAUUUACGCUAUUUCUGCUGGAGUUACUAAUGCUCUUUUGUUUUUGUUUUAGUUUUUCUCUUUCUUUCACUGAGCCAAUGGUCGAUUGGAAACAACCUCUCUGCCCUUUCAGGUAGGGGUAAGGCCUGUCUACAUAUUACCCUCCCCAAACCCAACCUUGUGGGACUAUACUGAGUAGUUGUUGUUGUUGAUGAUUAUAAAAUAUAAGUCUCUGUUUGUGUUGUGAAAAAAAGGGAGAUAUUUUUGACUAGUUUACCCUUAUUGAUAUUUGAACAAUA